UAAAUGACGUUUUAUUUGACAUCGAAAAUUAUUAGCAUAAUUUUUAGCUUAAAUUAUAAAGCCUUGGCAUAAUUUUGGCAAGUUUUCAACAGCCUAUUAGCAAAUUUCAUGUUAGUCUUGUUGGCAACACUGUAUCGUACCAGUUUAGACGAGCGGCCAUCUUGUUCAAUCACAUUCAUUAUUGUAAUUUGUUUAAUUUUCUUCGCUUGGGUACUUUAAGCGGUUGUGUUCGUUCGGUAAAGGCGGAUUGAAUAAUAUUAUUUUGCAGUGGUAAAAGUUAAUGUAACUAUUGAUUACAAAAUAAAAAAAUCAGUGCAUUCUAUUUAUUUGCAUUUAAAUAAUAUAUAACACGCGUAGCCUAGGAAAUGCAAGGUGCAGAAGAAGAAGUUCAAAACAAGUCUCGCAAUGAUGAGGACUCCAUAAAUUUUAGGCCCUCGCCAAAUUUUAAGCAUAUGAAAAAAUAUUUAAAAUCUAAAUUUGAAGAAUCUAAUCAAAUGUCAGAGCAGUCGUCACCAACUGAACUUACUAAUCCAACAAUGGGUAACAAUGUUCAAGAGGAAGGGAAAAAUACUACUAAUGUGCAGCCCCAAAAUACUUCUAAUGUGCAGCCCCCACUGCCACCUAAUCCACCACCACCAGGCACACCACCCAUGAUAAUAAACUUAAAAAAGGAAAUAGUGGAUGAUGAGUAUCAGACCAAUGACCCUAAAUCGCAAGAAUAUAUUAAUACUGAAGAAUUAAAAACUACAAUUAAAACAGAUCAAGAAACUGAUGAGCCAAAAGUUAUCAUGUGCCGCAAUUUUGUGCGAGGAACGUGCAAAAAAGGAGCUGCCUGUAUUUUUGCACAUAAAUUGAUUUUGUCACAAUUGCCUGGCGUUUAUACGUUUUGCCGCAAUUUCCAAAACUCUGUGUGCUCUUUUCCAAAAUGUAAAUUUGUACAUGCAACUGUGUUUGAAUUUCAAACACUUUUUUAGAUCAGGCUAUUUGCCUCCGCACACAUUAGCACAUCUUAAAGAGAGUGCUGCACCACAACCAGACCCGACCACACCUCAAACGGAAGAAACUCCUGGAAUUGCACCUCCAGCUGUGUAUCCUUUGGGGCUAGCACCACCACCUCCACCACCAGCUAAGCCAUGUAUGGUGCCGACCCAUAUGAAUUAUGCAGUCCCUGACUCAACCUGCAACAUGUACAGGACGUCUGUUGUAGGCCAAAAACGUGAUUGGGGUGGUGAUGAACAUGAAGUCAGCAGCUCUACGGAGGUUCCGCAUCUCAGCACUGGUCAGUCACGCGCAAAGAAGUGCAAAAUGUGUGAUAGCACAGAAAUCAGGGAGGAGUUGCUGAAGAGGAAGGUUGAAAACCACAGGCAAAAAAUUGAAGAACUACAACAAAAGAAUAGGCUUCUGUUGACGAAGAACGCAAGGAUUUCUUCAGUUGUAACAGCACUCUUCAAACCGAAAAUGCCGGGCAGUAACGGGCUGGGUAUCAUACCAGAGAAAGAAAAUGGUUUGUUGACUUAUCUGGCCAAAAUGCUGCUGAACGCCGAGACAGGGGCGCCACCAGAUGCCUCGUGAUAUAGAUAGUGGUUGAUCGAACUGAAUACAGUUACAGUAACUAGAUAUAGGUGUAGAAUAGUCAAAAACAAAAGUAUACAAAGCUGACAAAUGCUAAAUUUUCUUUAACUAAUCAUAUGUUUUGUUACAAAUGUAAAAAAAUAUUGUUUUUCGGCUUACUCGCGUCUCCGUUUAAAGAAUACCGCGAUUAGUUUCAAGCUGUACUAGAGGGUCAUAUUCAUGAGCAGUAUUCCGCGACGCAACAUUGUAGGCUGCCGCAGAUUUCUGGAGUAUGACACCGUGAGCAUGGUAAACAACACUUAUGCGUCUACUUGGGAUUCGAAUCCAACACCUCAGCCGCUGUCGAACACUACCGUUGCUGGCGCAGGUAGAAGGAAGUGUGCGUGAAUCACAGCAGAAGGCGCGAGAGGCGAGCAAACUCGAAUAGCCAGUAGCAGCGCGAAAGUCGCCGCAUUGUGUGUCGCGGAAUACUGCUCAUGUAUAUGAUCCUCUAAUACGGCUUGAAACUAGUCGGGUUCCUCUAAAAACCUGUUUUUAGAGUAACUGUUCGAAAUACAGGUCUUUUGUGGACAGGUUUUGUGAGAAACCAUAGCAAUGAAAAAUCUAUGUAUUGUUGGUAUACAAUUUAGGAACACUUAAUUAAAAAUAUGAAUACACUCAUUAUUCAAAUAUGUCGAAGAAACUGCGGCCUUAAUCAAGUAUGCUAUAUACAACGUGUAACAAAAUACCCAUAUACAUCAAGAAGGGCUGAUGAAUACAGGUUGAAUAGAGUCUCUACACGAAGUUUCAGCUUAAAAUACGAUUAAAAAAAAUUGUACUAAAUACUUGGUAUCGCAUGGUUCUUGAUUUUAAAUCAUACACACAUGUCACAACACUACAGGGGUCACUCGCUAAUAUUACGAAACAUUUCUUCUGUCAAUCUGAUCGCCUAGUUAUCUGUCUACCUAAUUCUGAAUCACGCGGCGGCGCGAUUUGAAAAAUUCAUAACUUGGUACCAUGAAAACAUGAGUUUAAAAAACCCUUACCGUAUCGUUUGUUAUGUUAUCUAGAAGCCGUGCAAUUGAUAUGUAUACCCCCUUUUUGUUACACGUUGUAUA